rnacentral:rRNA from 1 species
UACGUAGGGUGCAAGCGUUAUCCGGAAUUAUUGGGCGUAAAGAGCUCGUAGGCGGUUUGUCGCGUCUGCUGUGAAAACUGGGGGCUCAACCCCCAGCCUGCAGUGGGUACGGGCAGACUAGAGUGCGGUAGGGGAGAUUGGAAUUCCUGGUGUAGCGGUGGAAUGCGCAGAUAUCAGGAGGAACACCGAUGGCGAAGGCAGAUCUCUGGGCCGUAACUGACGGCUGAGGAGCGAAAGCAUGGGGAGCGAACAGG